AGAGGAAUAGCUGGGUCAAAUGUUGGUUCCAUUCCCAGAUUUCCAAGAAAUCUCCAUACUGUUUUCCAUAUUGGCUGCACCAAUUUGCAAUCCCACCAGCAGU
rnacentral:pre_miRNA from 1 species